GGCGGUUCUCAAGUGAUGCACCCGGAAUAGGUCUCCCUCCUCUCUGGUUCUGGGUGAGUCACCCGAGAACUGCA
rfam:Myotis lucifugus cont2.4753, whole genome shotgun sequence.